AGGCUCCUGAGAGAGUGGAAAAACAGGCACCUGCAGGUGCUGAAGAGCUGCCUAAGUCCAAGAGAGACAGCUGCGAGGGCUCCAGGAAGAAACCCCCCAGUGUCUGAUUAAAAAAAACAACAAACUGAGCAAAUUAGGUGCAGAAGGAAUGUACCUCAACAUAAAAGUGUACAAAUUUCAGUUAUGCAAGAUAAGUAAGUUCUGGAGAGCUAUACAGCAUAGUACCCACAGAAAAUGUUACUAUAUUCUUAAAUUGUUUAAUUAAAAACUUUUAUUAUUAUUAUUUUUUUUUAGACAGAUUUUCACUCUUGUUGCUAAGGCUGGAGUGCAAUGGUGCUGUCUCGGCUCACUGCAACCUCCGCCUCCCAGGUUCAAGAGAUUCUCCCACCUCAGCCUCCCAGUACUUUGCUCAGAUUAUAGGUACCCGCCACCACGCCCAGCUAAUUUUUGUAUUUAUAGUAGAGAUGGGGUUUUGCCAUCUUAGCCAGGCUGCUCUCCAACUCCUGAUCUCAGGUGAUCCGCCUGCCUCAGCCUCCCAAAGU
rnacentral:lncRNA from 10 species